rnacentral:rRNA from 1 species
UACAGAGGGGGCAAGCGUUAUUCGGAAUUAUUGGGCGUAAAGGGCGCGUAGGCGGCCUGGCAAGUGGAAGGUGAAAUCCCUCGGCUUAACCGAGGAACUGCCCUCCAAACUGCUUGGCUUGAGUCCGGGAGAGGUGAGUGGAAUUCCCAGUGUAGCGGUGAAAUGCGUAGAUAUUGGGAAGAACACCAGUGGCGAAGGCGGCUCACUGGCUCGUAACUGACGCUCAGGCGCGACAGCGUGGGGAUCAAACAGG